GUUCCGUAGGUGAACCUGCGGAAGGAUCAUUACAGAGUUCAUGCCCUCACGGGUAGAUCUCCAACCCUUGAAUAUUUAUACCUUAGUUGCUUUGGCAGGCCGUGGAAACACCAUGGGCUCCGGCUUAUGCGUGCCUGCCAGAGGAAACAAACUCUGUUUUUAGUGAUGUCUGAGUACUAUAUACUAGUUAAAACUUUCAACAACGGAUCUCUUGGUUCUG
rnacentral:misc_RNA from 1 species